GGAGAAUUUGUCGCAGAUCUUGUUCCAUCUAGCGUGCUUAUUUCCGUUCUUUCCAAGCGCCGCCAUGAAAGUCGCUGCGCCGUCGCCUGCCGAUGCAAGAGCCACCGUCGUCUGCCGCCAUUUUGAUAGAUCGAAUGGCGAUAAUGGGAAGACGGAAGCCAUGGAAGCGGUAAUCGGGUCCGAAGAUGUCUAGGGCUAUCAUCAACCAGUUGUGUAGAGUGGCCACUCCAUUUGCUACGACGAAGAAUCUGCGACAAGAGUGUGCUGAAACCUCGCAGAUAUAGUGGCAGUGAGUGGAGCAGUUCCAACGGUGGCAACAACAACAGAUUUGGACUCCUUAUUAAGAGCCAUCACAAGGGUUGCUGAGGCAGUGGCGAAAGAAGCCACCAAUCUGACCAAAACAAGCCCCCAUCGCCACUUCCUCGUCGGCGGCGAUGCCACUGCAAGAUGGUUGUACUCACCAACCUCUGCUUUUGCUGCUGCUGCUGCUGCUGCUUCGGACUGUAAAGAAGCCAUGGAUAAUGGACAAACAACAAAAUUCAGCGUCUUGGAUCUGUUUCUUACUCGGAUGAGGUACUUAUAACCACUCAGAUUUAGCUGAACUUUGUUGAGUUUGAGAAGUAAACGAGUUAUUUCUUUGGA